AGCGUAGUAGUUAAGGAUUUAAUAUUUGUUUUACACACAAAAGAUGAAGAAAGAUAUCUUCCAGCGCUA
rnacentral:tRNA from 1 species